UUUUACUUUUCAUUUAAGGCUUUUUGCAAAAGUAAACUUGUCUUCCUGAAAUGUCUUUUGUGAAGUGGAACCUUUGUUAAACUAAGUGGACAAACAUUUUCUUCCUCAUUAUGCUAUUUUUGAGUAGCAUGUACACCAGUCUGAUGGGGCUUUUCAUCUUCCGUCUAAUGUUGGUUCAUGGUUACUGUGAGUGGCUGUUUGUGUUUCAUCAGAACUUUAUAUACAGUUUGUACAGUUUUAAAGAUGUUUUCUUGACAUGUUGUAUUUUAAGUAAAUACUUCUGAAGUGAAAUAAAGAAAAAUAAUUUUAUAA